UCGGACGUGGUGCAUGGCGCACGCCCGCUUUUCUUGAGGUGCUGUCGGAUUACGAGUAUCUGCAGGAAACCCGGGUUCGACUCCCGGCGUCCGAA